UACGGGGGGAGCAAGCGUUGUUCGGAUUUCCUGGGCGUAAAGGGCGCGUAGGCGGCCUUCUAAGUCGAACGUGAAAUCCCCGGGCUCAACCCGGGAACUGCGUCCGAUACUGGAAGGCUUGAAUCCGGGAGAGGGAUGCGGAAUUCCAGGUGUAGCGGUGAAAUGCGUAGAUAUCUGGAGGAACACCUGCGGCGAAGGCGGGUUGCUGGGCCGACACUGACGCUGAGGCGCGAAAGCCAGGGGAGCGAACGGG
rnacentral:rRNA from 1 species